rfam:Schistosoma rodhaini strain Burundi genome assembly, scaffold: SROB_scaffold0000014
AUCCAGCUGACGCGUCCCAAAUAGGACGAAACGUGCGUCCUGGAU